rnacentral:lncRNA from 1 species
GUAGUGGCAUGAGGACAGCCGUGAAAGGACACUGGGGUGGGCUGACAACAUUCAGAUGGUCCCCAAGCUCCUCUCUCUCCUCUUCAGCCCUGACACACAAGCCCAACAUUUUCAUCCCGGAGAUCCUCGGGUACCAGUCACACCAGGAACCUUACCUGCUACGUGUUCUGAGCCUGUGAAUGGGAGGACCCCCCUCCACAUUCUUCCGAAUGGGGGUCUCCCUGUUGCAUCUGGGCUCCAGGACCUUCGGCUCCUCGGUGCUCAUGAUCACCCCACAGCCCCAGGACCACGGCACCAAGCUCACCUGGCUGGUGAAGUUCCCCGGAGCUGGUGUGACCACAGAGAGAACCAUCCAGCUCAGUGUCUCCUAUGCUCUAAGGAACCCAAGGAUCGGUGUCUCUCUAGGAGAUGGCACAGAUAGGACAGAGCCCCCUCCCUGGGGCUGAGGGAAUAGGGCCUGCAGCUCUGGGCAGGGCUGGGCUACUGUUUCUUCCUGGACUCACCUUGGUAAACUGAGACCCCCUUGUAAGUGAAACAGGGUCUUCCCCAUCCUUAGUCUCCGAAGCCACCUGAGCACCUGUCCCCACCCUCCCCUCACUACCCUUGGCCUCUUCCACAUACAACUCCCAUGGGCCCCGUAACAAGGACAGGGUGCCAUUCACAUAGCAGAUCCAGGCUUUGAGUCCCCACCUCCUGAAUACUCCUCCUCCCUCAUCUUCUUAUUCUCCCCAAUAGUCCUGAUCCAAGUUCUUCUGGACAGACGAUACAGUCACAUGGGUGAAAAUUCAGAAUGCACAGUAGAAUCUGCCCUCAGUCACCCAUGCCCUUCCCCAGAAUCCACCAGUGUCUGUCCUGUCUGCACCGCACCUUGAUUUGCUUGCCCGAAGGAGCUCAGUGAUGGUUUAACAUCAGUAGUGACGUCAGAGUGAUAUUACCCUCCUCCAGUACUGUGUGUGAUUCCACUGUGUGGAUGGACUCCACUUUUAUGGCAUCAAAAAUGUGGACUCUGAUUUUGUGCCUCAUGGAAUAUCAUGGCACUAAUUUUAUCCUGCCAACAGUAACACUGCAAUAAAUAAUCUUGUAUCUGCUGCCACAAGUGUACAUCUAUGCCCGUGAAAUCAGUUCUUAAAUGCAAAACAGUUGGAUCAUAUGUUCUUUCUAAUUUUGAAAAAUAUGGCUAAGUGGCUCUCCAUGAAGGUGAACAAGGUUACAUGCCCAACAGGGAGGGGUAAAAGUGUGUGUAUUCACCCACCCAGUGUGGGGCAAAACUUUUUUUUUUUUUUUUUUUUGAGACGGACUCUCACGCUGUUGCCCAGGCUGGAGUGCAGUGGCGCGAUCUCGGCUCACUGCAAGCUCCGCCUCCCGGGUUCCCGCCAUUUUCCUGCCUCAGCCUCCUGAGUAGCUGGGACUACAGGCGCCCGCCACCGCGCCCGGCUAAUUUUUUUUUGUAUUUUUAGUAGAGACGGGGUUUCACUGUGGUCUCGAUCUCCUGACCUUGUGAUCCGCCUGCCUCGGCCUCCCAAAGUGCUGGGAUUACAGGCUUGAGCCACCGCGCCCGGCCGACUUUUUUUUUUUUUAAUUUUUUGAGACAGAGUCUCGCUCUGUUGCCCAGGCUGGAGUACAGUAGUGUGAUCUUGGCUCACUGCAACCUUUGCCUCCCAGGUUCAAGCAAUUCUCAUGCCUCAGUCUCCCUACCAGCUGGGAUGACAGGCAUGUGCCACCACACCCAGGUAAUUUCUUUUGUAUUUUUAGUACAGACAGGGUUUUGCUAUGUUGGCCAAGCUGGUCUUGAACUCCUGACCUCAAGUGAUCCGCCCACCUCAGCCUCCCAAAGUGCUGGGAUUAUAGGCCACUGCUCCCAUCUGGGGAAAAACUUUUCGAAAUCAGGACCUGUGGUAGAGGUGGUCCUGGUGGCUGUUGGGGAAGCAGCUGUGAAGAUCCUGGCUAUCUGCCUCUGCCUCCUCUUCCUCAGGUAAGCGCUGCCCCAGGGACCAAGAAGAGAUGUGGGAGUACAGGGGACACAACGCUGAAUCCCAAGUCUCAGUGCUGGAGGGACCUGAAGGCUCAAGAGGGCCAGGCAGUAGGCUGAGUUGUGGAUUUUUCAACACAAUAUUUCCAGCCUUAUUGAGGUGGAAUUGAAAGAUAAAUAUUGUAUUUAUUUACAGCAUAUAAUGUGAUGUUUUGUGGACAUUUCCUUUGAAUUUUCAUUGUUCUAUUUUAAUAGACAAAUAAAAUUGUGUAUAUUUAUGAUAUGCAACCUAAUGUUUUAAAAUAUAAGUGCCUUGUAUAAUGAAGAAAUAAGCUAAUAUAUGCAUUACAUCUCACACUUAUCAACCCCUUUGCACUUUAAAGUAACACCUUAUACUCAUCAAAAGGAUUGCUUUGUAUCCAGCAAUAUUUGUUUUGUUUUGUGAUAAGAACAUUGGAAAUGUACUGUCUUGGCAGUAUUGAAAUAUAUGAUACAGUAUUAUUAGCUAUAGUCACCAUGCAGUACAGGAGAUUUCCAGAUUCCUCUUGUCUACCUGAAACUUUGUACCCUCUGACUAACAUCUCUUUAUUGUCUCCAACCCCCACUCCUGAUCACCAGGGUUCUAGCCUCUGCUUUUAUAAAAUUGACUUAUACAGAUUCCUCAUAUAAGCAGAAUCAUGAAGUAUUUGCCUUUCUGUGCCUAGCUUAUUUCACUUGGCAUAUUUUCCUCCGGGUUCAUCCAUGUUGUUGCAAGUGACAAAAUUUUCUUUCUUUUUAAAGCUGAAUAAUAUUCUUUUGCAUAUACAUACCACAUUUUCUUUAUCUGUUCAUCCAUUGAUGGGCACUUAGGUUGAUUCCGUAUCUUGACUGUUGCGGAUAGUACUUUGGAAAAUAUGGGAGUACAGAUGUCUCUUCAAUAUACGAAUUUUGUUUUCUUUCAAUAGAUACUCAUAAAUGGGAUUUCUGGGUCAUAUGGUAGUUCUAUUUUUAAUUUUGGGAGGACCAACAUUCUGCUUUCCAUAAUGGGUGUACUAAUGUACAUUCCCAUUAAUAGCGUACAAAGUUAUCCACAGUGUUUUUAAUGAAAUUAUGAGAUUUACUAGCCGGCUGGCACAAGAACCUGUUUUUCCAUUAACAAUGUGAAUUUUUCCUUAAAUAAGAGAAUAAACAGAAAGUAUGAGCAUAUGAAAUGACUUUUGUAUAUUGUUGAAAUCUCAAUAAUUUGGUUUCUGAGUAUAUGCAGCCUACCUUUGUAUGUUGGACAAACACUGGUUGGCAAACUAGCAUAGGUCAGGAAAAGUGCCCAGAUGCAACAUUAAAUAUUCAUGUAGGACUGUCUUCUUGUAGGAUCUGUCUUCUGCUCUAAAUUAAAACCUAAUUGAAGGCAGUGUCUUAACCCAUUAAAUUAUUUUUAUUAAACUGAACAAUUUAAAUAAAGAUAUUAAUUAGAAAUUAAAAUUAGGCUGAUAGAUCUAAUAAUAGUAGUACAUAUACCUGCCUUUCCUUUUAUUGAUAAUUAUUGGAAGGAAGGAAAUAUCUUCAGGUAUAUUAAAAAUAUGUGUUGCUAAUUUUAAAAAUUCACAUCUCUAGUAUAAAAAUAAUGCAUGCAAAACUUUGUUGAGGAGGUUGAACACGGAUCAAAGUUAUGACUAAGAGUUUUGUUUGUUUUCCUCAUGAAAAGGACCUCAUUUAUUCUUGAUGAGAAAUCUCUAGUAGAAAUGACGCUUCUUAUAGGCCAGAUAUGCUUAUGAUACAAAUAUCCAAAAAUUUUAAUUGUAAGGUAUGAGGAUUUUGUUUUCACUGUUAUGUCAAAAUUUUUCUCUCAUUGGAACUGUUUUAGGC